rfam:Picea glauca, whole genome shotgun sequence.
CUCAAGGUUUUUCUAAAAACCAUAAAAAGCAGUCAUACAUGCGAAA